GUAAACCCUGGGGGAGUGGUCCAGGACUUCAUCUUCUUCUGUGAUGCCGUGGCGUCCUGGGUCAGCCCUAAAGACGACCUGAGAGACAUGUUCUACAAGAUCCUCCAUGGUUUUAAGGACCAGGUAGGAGAGGAGAACUGGCAGCAGUUCUCAGAACAGUUUCCCCCCCAGCUGAAGGAGAGACUGUCUGCCUGCUACGCUGUGUAGAAACCCCCCCUAACCUAACAUCAGGUGAGCCAGUAGUAGAGGAGGAAGGUGAAAAGGAAUCUCAUCCAUCUGUGUUAAUGCCCUGAACUGAUCUGGGAGGAGAGGGACCCAUCACGCCAUUGGCCGCUCCCC